GGCGAGUGAAGCGGCAACAGCUCAAAUUUGAAAUCUGGCCCCUAGGGCCCGAGUUGUAAUUUGUAGAGGAUGCUUUUGGUGAGGUGCCGCCCGAGUUCCCUGGAACGGGACGCCACAGAGGGUGAGAGCCCCGUCUGGCUGGCCGCCGAGCCUCUGUAAAGCUCCUUCGACGAGUCGAGUAGUUUGGGAAUGCUGCUCAAAAUGGGAGGUAUAUGUCUUCUAAAGCUAAAUAUUGGCCAGAGACCGAUAGCGCACAAGUAGAGUGAUCGAAAGAUGAAAAGCACCUUGAAAAGAGGGUUAAAUAGUACGUGAAAUUGUUGAAAGGGAAGCGCUUGUGACCAGACUUGGGCGCGGCGGAUCAUCCGGGGUUCUCUCCGGUGCACUUCGCCGCGUCUAGGCCAGCAUCAGUUCGUCGCGGGGGAAAAAGGCUUCGGGAACGUGGCUCCUCCGGGAGUGUUAUAGCCCGUUGCAUAAUACCCUGCGGUGGACUGAGGACCGCGCAUCUGCAAGGAUGCUGGCGUAAUGGUCACCAGCGACCCGUCUUGAAA
rnacentral:rRNA from 1 species